rnacentral:pre_miRNA from 1 species
GCCUGCCCUCCAGGAGCUCAUAAUCUAGUGGGGAAGUCAGAAUGGCAACUCAAUAGACUGUGAGCUCCUUGGGGGCAAGGA